GACGAACGCUGGCGGCGUGGAUUAGGCAUGCAAGUCGGACGGUAGGGCUUUAUCGUAAGAUAGAGUUUGAGAGUGGCGAACGGGUGAGUAACACGUAGGAAUCUACCCUUAAGACGGGGACAACCCAGGGAAACUUGGGCUAAUACCGGAUGAGAGUGCGAGAGAUUGCAUUUAAAAGGAUGGCGAAAGUUGUCGCUUAGGGAUGAGCCUGCGGUCUAUUAGUUAGUUGGUGAGGUAAGAGCUCACCAAGGCGAUGAUAGAUAGGCGGCCUUAACGGGUGGUCGCCCACACUGGGAUUGAGAUACGGCCCAGACUCCUACGGGAGGCAGCAGUCGAGAAUAGUCUACAAUGGCCGGAAGGCUGGAUAGUGCGACGCCGCGUGAACGAGGGAGCCCUUCGGGUGUAAAGUUCUUUUCUAUACGAGCAGUGCUAUAUAUAUGGAUAGGUAUAUAGUAAGAAGGGAUAGUAGUAUAGGUAAUAAGCAACGGCUAACUCCGUGCCAGCAGCCGAC
rnacentral:rRNA from 1 species